UACGGAGGAUCCAAGCGUUAUCCGGAUUUAUUGGGUUUAAAGGGUGCGUAGGCGGCCUGUUAAGUCAGGGGUGAAAGACGGUGGCUCAACCAUCGCAGUGCCCUUGAUACUGACGGGCUUGAAUGGACUAGAGGUAGGCGGAAUGAGACAAGUAGCGGUGAAAUGCAUAGAUAUGUCUCAGAACACCGAUUGCGAAGGCAGCUUACUAUGGUCUUAUUGACGCUGAGGCACGAAAGCGUGGGGAU
rnacentral:rRNA from 1 species